UGAGCAAUCUGCCCUUCACAUCGGAAUAACCAUUGGAAACGAUGGCUAAUACCGAAUAUGACUUCGGAUCGCAUGAUCGGAGGUGGAAAGCUCCGGCGGAGAAGGAUGAGCUCGCGGCCUAUCAGCUAGUUGGUGUGGGUAACGGCCCACCAAGGCGACGACGGGUAGCCGGCCUGAGAGGGUGACCCGGCCACACUGGGACUGAGACACGGCCCAGACCUCCGUAGGGA
rnacentral:rRNA from 1 species